GGCGACGAUACAUAGCCGACCUGAGAGGGUAAACGGCCACAUUGGAACUGAGACACGGUCCAAACUCCUACGGGAGGCAGCAGUGGGGAAUAUUGCACAAUGGGCGAAAGCCUGAUGCAGCAACGCCGCGUGAGUGAAGAAGGCCCUUGGGUCGUAAAACUCUGUUGAGAGGGAAGAAGAAAAUGACGGUACCUCUUGAGGAAGCCCCGGCUAACUACGUGCCAGCAGCCGCGGUAAUACGUAGGGGGCGAGCGUUAUCCGGAAUUAUUGGGCGUAAAGAGUGCGUAGGUGGUUAUCUAAGCGCGUGGGUGAAAGGCAGUGGCUUAACCAUUGCAAGCCUUGCGAACUGGAUAACUUGAGUGCAGGAGGGGAAAGUGGAAUUCCUAGUGUAGCGGUGAAAUGCGUAGAUAUUAGGAGGAACACCGGUGGCGAAGGCGGCUUUCUGGACUGUAACUGACACUGAGGCACGAAAGCGUGGGUAGCAAACAGGAUUAGAUACCCUGGUAGUCCACGCCGUAAACGAUGAGCACUAGGUGUUGGGGGGAGAACUCUCAGUGCCGCAGUUAACGCAAUAAGUGCUCCGCCUGGGGAGUACGCACGCAAGUGUAAAACUCAAAGGAAUUGACGGGGACCCGCACAAGCAGCGGAGCAUGUGGUUUAAUUCGAAGCAACGCGAAGAACCUUACCAGGACUUGACAUCUGCCUGACGUACCCUUAACCGGGUAUUUCUUCGGACAGGCAAGACAGGUGGUGCAUGGUUGUCGUCAGCUCGUGUCGUGAGAUGUUGGGUUAAGUCCCGCAACGAGCGCAACCCUUGUCAAUAGUUGCCAGCAGUAAGAUGGGCACUCUAUUGAGACUGCCGUGGAUAACACGGAGGAAGGUGGGGAUGACGUCAAAUCAUCAUGCCCCUUAUGUUCUGGGCUACACACGUGCUACAAUGGCCGGUACAACGAGAAGCAAGACCGCAAGGUGGAGCAAAACUUAAAAAGCCGGUCCCAGUUCGGAUUGUAGGCUGCAACUCGCCUACAUGAAGAUGGAGUUGCUAGUAAUCGCAGAUCAGAAUGCUGCGGUGAAUGCGUUCCCGGGUCUUGUACACACCGCCCGUCACACCAUGGAAGUUGGGGGUGCCCGAAGUCGGUUAGGAAAUAGGCUGCCGAAGGCAAAACCAAUGACUGGGGUGAAGUCGUAACAAGGUAACG
rnacentral:rRNA from 2 species